GCCAUGUCACAUAGCACAGCCUGGCACGGCUGCCCCAGACCAUGGAGUUGGUGGAGAGUGGAGCCACAGCCAAGGGGACCAGCAGCUGAGUGACAUCCUGGCCUAUGGUUGCAGUAUGGCAGGGGGGGUGGCAGACGGACUGGGUGUGAGAGGACAGAAAGGAGCAUGGCUCAGGUCAGCUGGUGGUGGCACUGAUGGUGGGGGCAGAAGGUCUGGGAGUGGGCAUGCAUGGCCUUGGUGGUGAGGCUGGUCAGAGCUCUUCCGGGGCCAGGGAAGGGAGGGUUUGCUGGGACAGCUCCCCAAGCAGCUCACACCUCUGCUUCUGCUCUUGCCCUUGGUUCCCACGUCUGAGCCCGGCACCCCCUCCACAUUGCUGUGCAGACUGGAACCCACGGGUGGCAGUUGGAGUCACCCUCCAUUCACUCCUUCCAGGAUUGUUACAAUGAUGAGGUCACUGUCUUUCUCAAGACACACAGCUGGCCCCUGGCGAGGUCAGGCUCAACUCCAUGCAUCCCGAGGCAAAGUCUGUGGUCUGCAAGGUGAAGGGUGACAACCACUGCUGCUGUGUCUGCUGUAUCUGGAUGCUACGGUGGUCACCCCACUGUGGAGCAGGAGCUCAGAGCUGCUUUUUGAUACUGUGGGACUCUGCGCUUUCUACAGUGUCAGCUGCAGUGGUCAGUGUGAUCGAUGAGUGACGAGGCUUUCCUGUGACCAGAUGAGCCCCAGGGAAUUAUUUCAGAGAUCUUGGCCAAACAUGCCAGCCACAGCCAUGACGUCAUGAGUCUGCCCGAGGGGAUCUCAGCUCGGUGCUGCGUGUCGUGGGCCUGCAACACCCACCCUGGAGCCCUGCCGUGGAGCUGUGUGGCAUCUGGUGAAGGCAUCCUUCCAGGCCAACCCUGCCUGCUGUGGCUCCUGGUCAAGGUCCCUCCAGCGGCAUGAGGUGUUUAAAUGCAUUUCUUCCCUGGCCUGCACCAGGCAGACUUUCCUUCUCCUGUUCAAAUAUUUAUACGUGUGUGUAUUAUUGCACAUGGCUUCUGCUGCUCGCGAUCACACCUGUAGUCAUAAAGCACAGAUUAUCAGCUCAAGGUGAUAAAGGGCCUUUGAGUCAACACUAGAAAUGAACAGAAAAUGAAAUAAAGUUAUAAAAAGAA